rnacentral:rRNA from 1 species
AGGACGAACGCUGGCGGCGUGCUUAACACAUGCAAGUCGAGCGGAAAGGCCCUUCGGGGUACUCGAGCGGCGAACGGGUGAGUAACACGUGAGCAACCUGCCCCUGGCUCUGGGAUAGCCUCCGGAAACGGGGAUUAAUACCGGACAUGACCUGCUGCUGCAUGGCGGUGGGUGGAAAGUUUUUCGGCCAGGGUGGGGCUCGCGGCCUAUCAGCUUGUUGGGGGGGUGACGGCCCACCAAGGCGACGACGGGUAGCCGGCCUGAGAGGGCGACCGGCCACACUGGGACUGAGACACGGCCCAGACUCCUACGGGAGGCAGCGGUGGGGAAUAUUGCGCAAUGGGGGGAACCCUGACGCAGCGACGCCGCGUGCGGGAUGAAGGCCUUCGGGUUGUAAACCGCUUUCACCAGGGACGAAGCGAGAGUGACGGUACCUGGGGAAGAAGCGCCGGCUAACUACGUGCCAGCAGCCGCGGUAAUACGUAGGGCGCGAGCGUUGUCCGGAAUUAUUGGGCGUAAAGAGCUCGUANGCGGCUGGUUGCGUCUGCUGUGAAAUCCCGGGGCUUAACCCCGGGCGUGCAGUGGAUACGGGCCGGCUGGAGGCAGGCAGGGGAGAAUGGAAUUCCCGGUGUAGCGGUGAAAUGCGCAGAUAUCGGGAGGAACACCGGUGGCGAAGGCGGUCUCUGGGCCUGUACUGACGCUGAGNGCGAAAGCGUGGGGAGCGACAGAUA